rnacentral:rRNA from 1 species
UACGUAGGGAGCAAGCGUUGUCCGGAUUUACUGGGUGUAAAGGGUGCGUAGGCGGCUUUGCAAGUCAGAAGUGAAAUCCAUGGGCUUAACCCAUGAACUGCUUUUGAAACUGCAGAGCUUGAGUGGAGUAGAGGUAGGCGGAAUUCCCGGUGUAGCGGUGAAAUGCGUAGAGAUCGGGAGGAACACCAGUGGCGAAGGCGGCCUGCUGGGCUCUAACUGACGCUGAGGUACGAAAGCGUGGGUAGCAAACAGG